rnacentral:tRNA from 1 species
GGACGUAGUUUAAUGGUAGAACCUCAGCCUUCCAAGCUGACUACGUGGGUUCGAUUCCCAUCAUCCG